rnacentral:rRNA from 1 species
UGCUUAACACAUGCAAGUCGAACGAGAUCCAUCCAGUAGCAAUACUGGUGAAGAUCUAGUGGCGAACGGGUGCGUAACACGUGAGGAACUUGUCCCGGUCUCUGGGAUAACAGUUGGAAACGACUGCUAAUACCGGAUGACGUCGGAACUUCGCAUGGAGUACUGACGAAAGGGUUACUGGAUCGGGAGAGCCUCGCGGCCUAUCUGCUUGUUGGUGGGGUAAUGGCCUACCAAGGCAUCGACGGGUAGCUGGUCUGAGAGGAUGAUCAGCCACACUGGGACUGAGACACGGCCCAGACUCCUACGGGAGGCAGCAGUGGGGAAUCUUGCACAAUGGGCGAAAGCCUGAUGCAGCAACGCCGCGUGCGGGAAGAAGGCCCUCGGGUUGUAAACCGCUUUCAGAAGGAACGAAACUGACGGUACUUUCAGAAGAAGGUGCGGCCAACUACGUGCCAGCAGCCGCGGUGACACGUAGGCACCAAGCGUUGUCCGGAUUUAUUGGGCGUAAAGAGCUCGUAGGCGGUUCAGUAAGUCGGGUGUGAAAACUUUGGGCUUAACCCAAAGCGUGCAUCCGAUACUGCUGUGACUUGAGUUCGGUAGGGGAGUGGGGAAUUCCUAGUGUAGCGGUGAAAUGCGCAGAUAUUAGGAGGAACACCGGUGGCGAAGGCGCCACUCUGGGCCGAAACUGACGCUGAGGAGCGAAAGCAUGGG